rnacentral:tRNA from 1 species
AGUUUAUGGAAGGUUUUAAGUUAAAUAAACUAAUAAUCUUCAAAAUUAUUUAUAAAGAAUAUUUCUUUAAGCCUUA